rnacentral:rRNA from 1 species
UACGUGGGGGGCAAGCGUUGUCCGGAUUUAUUGGGCGUAAAGAGCGUGUAGGCGGCCAGACAGGUCCGUUGUGAAAACUAGAGGCUUAACCUCUAGACGUCGAUGGAAACCGUUUGGCUAGAGUCCGGAAGAGGAGAAUGGAAUUCCUGGUGUAGCGGUGAAAUGCGCAGAUAUCAGGAAGAACACCCGUGGCUAAGGCGGUUCUCUAGUACGGUACUGACGCUGAGACGCGAAAGCGUGGGGAGCGAACAGG